rnacentral:rRNA from 1 species
AGAGUUUGAUCCUGGCUCAGAACGAACGCUGGCGGCGUGGAUAAGACAUGCAAGUCGAGCGCUGAUUACGGGGUAGCAAUAUUCCGUAGUCGGAGCGGCGCAAGGGUGCGUAACACGUGGGUAAUCUGCCAUGAAGUCUGGGAUAACUUGCUGAAAGGCGAGCUAAUACCGGAUGUGAAAAUUGGGAGGCAUCUUCCGAUUUUCAAAGUUGGGGACCGAAAGGCCUGACGCUUCAUGAUGAGCCCGCGGCCUAUCAGCUAGUUGGUGAGGUAACGGCUCACCAAGGCUAAGACGGGUAGCUGGUCUGAGAGGACGACCAGCCACACUGGAACUGAGACACGGUCCAGACACCUACGGGUGGCAGCAGUCGAGAAUUUUUCACAAUGGGGGAAACCCUGAUGGAGCGACGCCGCGUGGGGGAUGAAUGGCUUCGGCCCGUAAACCCCUGUCAUUCGCGAACAAUGCCCACGACCUAACACGUCGUGGGUUGAUAGUAGCGGAAGAGGAAGGGACGGCUAACUCUGUGCCAGCAGCCGCGGUAAUACAGAGGUCCCAAGCGUUGUUCGGAUUCACUGGGCGUAAAGGGUGCGUAGGCGGUCGGGUAAGUCUGAUGUGAAAUCUUCGAGCUCAACUCGGAAACUGCAUUGGAUACUAUUCGGCUUGAGGUCUGGAGGGGGGACUGGAAUUCUCGGUGUAGCAGUGAAAUGCGUAGAUAUCGAGAGGAACACCAGUGGCGAAGGCGAGUCCCUGGACAGAUCCUGACGCUGAGGCACGAAAGCUAGGGGAGCAAACAGGAUUAGAUACCCUGGUAGUCCUAGCCGUAAACGGUGCGUAUUUGCUGUAAAAGGAAUCGACCCCUUUUGUGGCGUAGCAAACGCGUUAAAUACGCCGCCUGGAAGUACGGUCGCAGAUUAAAACUCAAAGAAAUUGACGGGCCUGCACAAGCGGUGGAGUAUGUGGCUUAAUUCGAUGCAACGCGAAGAACCUUACCUGGCCUUGACAUGCAAGU